CCUACGGGUGGCAGCAGUGAGGAAUAUUGGUCAAUGGGCGGAAGCCUGAACCAGCCAAGCCGCGUGAGGGAAUAAGGUCCUACGGGUUGUAAACCUCUUUUAUCAGGGAAUAAAGUGAGGCACGUGUGCCUUUUUGUGUGUACUUUAUGAAUAAGGAUCGGCUAACUCCGUGCCAGCAGCCGCGGUAAUACGGAGGAUCCGAGCGUUAUCCGGAUUUAUUGGGUUUAAAGGGUGCGUAGGUGGGUUGUUAAGUCAGGUGUGAAAGGUCGCGGCUCAACCGUAAAAUUGCAAUUGAUACUGGCAGGCUGGAGUACAGGUGAGGUAGGCGGAAUGCGUGGUGUAGCGGUGAAAUGCUUAGAUAUCACGAAGAACUCCGAUUGCGAAGGCAGCUUACUAAACUGACACUGACAUUGAUGCACGAAAGUGUGGGUAUCAAACAGGAUUAGAUACCCUGGUAGUC
rnacentral:rRNA from 1 species